rnacentral:lncRNA from 1 species
CAUUGUUUAAUUCUUUCUGACUGAACAUUUCUGGGAGCUUAUUCUGUUUUUUGAGUGUGUACUAAAGGGUUUUAUACAGUGGCCAGGUAAAUAUUCCACAAUGAUUUAAAGAAAAGAGGACUCAACAUAUCAUUAAGUAUGUUUAAAGUACCCAAAUGGUCAGACCUUUUAAUAUAUGUGGGGAUACAGGGGCCCAGUCUUGGGUACUGAGAGGUAUGUGGGAUAUGUAUCUUCUGACUACAAUUUUCCUUACCUAGCUUAUUGUUACUCAGGAAUUGUUCACAUUCCCUAACCUCAGUUAACUGUGCCCCAGAAAAUUAUUGCACAUGU